rnacentral:rRNA from 1 species
AGAGUUUGAUCCUGGCUCAGGAUGAACGCUGGCGGCGUGCCUAAUACAUGCAAGUCGAGCGAGAAUUUUUCAAAUGACACUUCGGUUGAUUUUGGAAAAGGACAGCGGCGGACGGGUGAGUAACGCGUAGGCAACCUGCCCCUGACAGAGGGAUAGCCAUUGGAAACGAUGAUUAAAACCUCAUAACGCCGAAGGAACACAUGUUUCAUCGGCCAAAGAUUUAUCGGUCAGGGAUGGGCCUGCGUCUGAUUAGCUAGUUGGUGAGGUAACGGCCCACCAAGGCGACGAUCAGUAGCCGACCUGAGAGGGUGAUCGGCCACAUUGGAACUGAGACACGGUCCAAACUCCUACGGAAGGCAGCAGUAGGGAAUCUUGCACAAUGGGCGAAAGCCUGAUGCAGCAACGCCGCGUGAAGGAUGAAGGCCUUCGGGUUGUAAACUUCUGUUCUUAGGGAAGAAGAAAGUGACGGUACCUAAGGAGAAAGCCCCGGCUAACUACGUGCCAGCAGCCGCGGUAAUACGUAGGGGGCAAGCGUUAUCCGGAAUUAUUGGGCGUAAAGAGUGCGUAGGUGGUUAUCUAAGCGUAAGGUUUAAGCGUGCAGCUCAACUGCAUCUCGCCUUGCGAACUGGACUACUUGAGUGCAGGAGGGGAAAGCGGAAUUCCUAGUGUAGCGGUGAAAUGCGUAGAUAUUAGGAGGAACACCAGUGGCGAAGGCGGCUUUCUGGACUGUAACUGACACUGAGGCACGAAAGCGUGGGGAGCAAACAGGAUUAGAUACCCUGGUAGUCCACGCCGUAAACGAUGAGCACUAGAUGUUGGUCCCGAAGGGAUCAGUGUCGCAGUUAACGCAAUAAGUGCUCCGCCUGGGGAGUACGCUCGCAAGAGUAAAACUCAAAGGAAUUGACGGGGACCCGCACAAGCAGCGGAG